UACAGAGGGGGCAAGCGUUGUUCGGAAUUACUGGGCGUAAAGGGCGCGUAGGCGGCCUUCUAAGUCGAACGUGAAAUCCCCGGGCUCAACCCGGGAACUGCGUCCGAUACUGGAAGGCUUGAAUCCGGGAGAGGGAUGCGGAAUUCCAGGUGUAGCGGUGAAAUGCGUAGAUAUCUGGAGGAACACCGGUGGCGAAGGCGGCAUCCUGGACCGGUAUUGACGCGUGAGGCGCGAAAGCCAGGGGA
rnacentral:rRNA from 1 species